GUGGGGAAUUUUGGACAAUGGGCGAAAGCCUGAUCCAGCCAUGCCGCGUGCAGGAUGAAGGCCUUCGGGUUGUAAACUGCUUUUGUACGGAACGAAAAGACUCCUUCUAAUAAAGGGGGUCCAUGACGGUACCGUAAGAAUAAGCACCGGCUAACUGCGUGCCAGCAGCCGCGGUAAUACGUAGGGUGCAAGCGUUAAUCGGAAUUACUGGGCGUAAAGCGUGCGCAGGCGGUUAUAUAAGACAGAUGUGAAAUCCCCGGGCUCAACCUGGGAACUGCAUUUGUGACUGUAUAGCUAGAGUACGGUAGAGGGGGAUGGAAUUCCGCGUGUAGCAGUGAAAUGCGUAGAUAUGCGGAGGAACACCGAUGGCGAAGGCAAUCCCCUGGACCUGUACUGACGCUCAUGCACGAAAGCGUGGGGAGCAAACAGGAUUAGAUACCCGUGUAGUCC
rnacentral:rRNA from 1 species